AUUAAAAUAAUAUACAUAGAGAGACUGGAACCCCAAAUCUGGGGAGCUCUGCGAAUCGGGCGACGGCCGUUUCAACCCACCAUCUCCGAUUCUCUCCACUGUCGAAGAUCUAAUCCUUUGCAUGUAUAAGACUAGCACCUAAAUCACCUCUUUUGUUCAUGAAUUAGAUUUUUCAAUCAUCAAACCUAAAUUUUCUAGUUUCUUUUUCGAUUUUCCAACCUUUCUUCAAUUUCUGUUGUUUUAAUCAGGCCAUGAGCGGCUAAUUCCGCCGUUCAUAGGCUCUGAUGGAAACCCGUUACACAAGCUUAUGGAUGUGAUUUAGCGUUAAGGGGAUUCAAAAAUUUAUUCAAGGAAGUGGGAGCUUGUAUUUUUCUCUGCAAGUGUGGUUCAAUCACAUAAAAUAUUGCUUCUCAGAACUGAUAAGGAAGACGGUUUAUUGAGGGGGUCAGAGAUUAGAGAAGCAAUUGGGAUUGAACCGUCAAUAUCUCGUUGUGAUCAUCAAUUUGUUUAAAGGUUCGGAAAUGAAGAUACUUUUGGGAGCAACUCUAUCACCUAGCAACGUAACUCUACUUGAAGAAUCUAUUCUAUAUCCCCAUUUGAAGAUCUUGGUGUAACGGGAGAAAGUCAGAGCCUAUGAGCAUCUUACUUGUUUGAGCUCUAAUUCUUAGCUUAGUAUCAUUUUGGUAGCUUGAUUUCAGUAGUCUCUUUUUUACUGUUUAUUGUUUUUUUUAGUAGUCUUUUACCUUUCUGAUCAGCUUUUGACCUAAAUAUCCUUUGUGCUUAAUCUGUUUUUAUUUAGGCAAUUGUCUAAACCUUUUUCCUUUGAAGCUCUGCCAAUCGGAUAAUCUGUAAUUCAACUUAAAUUGCUUUUGAGCAGCCUAUCUUUUGUUCUGUUGCUGCAUUCUAGUCGUGAAGACUGGUAUCAAUUCUUUUUCCAAGUUUUUUUUC